rnacentral:misc_RNA from 1 species
GUGGCAGCCCUUGAGGUCCGCCUUGAAAUCUGGCGGUUGUCAUCAAUGCUGCUGUUGCCAAAACAGCAGUGUUUCAAACAGGUGUAAAUGUAAGUCAGGAGCCAAAAUAUGUAAGGAGAACCAACCAAGAUCAAUCCUGCAGGAGCAAACCACGGCUGAGAGUAAUCUGGCACGAAAAGGUAGAGAACAAGGAGGACACCACCAGUUAAUAAACAAAGACA